rnacentral:rRNA from 1 species
CCCUUAGAUGUUCUGGGCUGCACGCGUGCUACACUGAUUAUUUCAACAAGUGUUUUAACUGGAGAGUUUGCGUAAUCCUGAAAUGCUAUCGUGAUGGGAGUAGAGUAUUGUAUUUGUUAAUCUUUAACGAGGAAUUCCUAGUAAGUGUAGGUUUAUAAGUUGUUCUGAUUACGUCCCUGCCCUUUGUACACACCGCCCGUCGCUCCUACCGAUUGAAUGUUCCGGUGAGCUCUUCGGACUGCGCGGUCUGCAGUUUCUGCGUUCCGUGCGGAAAGUUGCGCAAACCUUAACAUUUAGAGGAAGGAGAAGUCGUAACA